GAAUAUUGCGCAAUGGAGGAAACUCUGACGCAGUGACGCCGCGUGCAGGAAGAAGGUUUUCGGAUUGUAAACUGCUUUAGACAGGGAAGAAACAAGACAGUACCUGUAGAAUAAGCUCCGGCUAACUCCGUGCCAGCAGCCGCGGUAAUACGGAGGAUGCGAGCGUUAUCCGGAUUUAUUGGGUUUAAAGGGUGCGUAGGCGGUUACUUAAGUCAGCGGUCAAAUGGCGGGGCUCAACCCCGUCCAGCCGUUGAAACUGGGUAGCUUGAGUCGGCGAGAAGUACGCGGAAUGCGCGGUGUAGCGGUGAAAUGCAUAGAUAUCGCGCAGAACUCCGAUUGCGAAGGCAGCGUACCGGCGCCGCACUGACGCUGAGGCACGAAAGCGUGGGUAUCGAACAG
rnacentral:rRNA from 1 species